GCACUAUUGGUGUAGUGGUAACAUGAAACCCUUCCAAGGUUUAGCUUCGGGUUCGAUUCCCGGAUGGUGCA